CGCGCACACACACACACACACACACACACACACACACACACAAAAGGUACUAAAUGUGAAGUGUUAAAAUGAUUGAUUGGAUGAAGGGAUUAAAGCUAGUUUAAGUGUUUCAGGAAGAGGUAGGUCUUCAGUCGUCAGGUGAAGACGGUCAGUGACUCGGCUGUUCGGACAUCUGGGGGAAGUUCACUCCACCACCUCGGUGCAGAGAAGAGUCUGUAUGUAGACCUACCUCUGACCCUGAGAGAUGGUGGACCAGUCCAGCUGUGCUAGUGGACCUGAGGGAGCGAGGCUUCAGGAAGCCAGUGGAGGAGCAGCAGUGGGGUGGUGUGGGAGAACUUAGACUACAUGAAGACAAGUCACAAGGCUGCAUUUUGGAUCAUUUGCAGUGGACAAACUGCAUUCAGAGGAAGACCUGCCAGUAGAGAGCUGCAGAGAAGUCCAGUCUCCAAAUGACCAGAGACUGAACAAGCACCUGAGCAUCCUGUGUGGAUAGAAAUGGUCAAAUCCUUCUGAUGUUCUUCUGAUCUGAAACCGACAUGAGCGCAUCACAU